UGGGAUUCUCUCUCCCUCCCUCUCUCUCAAAAUAAAUCAAUUAAAAAAAAAAAAAAAGAAAGAAAAAGAAAGGCUAAUUUGAGAGCCCCAGCGAAGUGCUGGAACUCACCAGCAAGACCUCUCCAGUCUCCCUCUCGGUUAUUAUAUAGCCGCCGCCCCGCUCCUCAUCUGGGGGGUUUCCAGCCCCCAGCGGACGCUGAAAGCAAGAACCCAUAUAUACCGUGUGCUUUCUGAUAACGCCUAAUGUAUACACCGGGCCCCGCAUGAGGUGAAAGCGGUAACUCAGGGUAAAACAGAGUGAUUGCGACAGGACUGAAACACAGGUUAUGUGACUGUGCCCUCUCUGUCAUAGUGCUUCCUCCUGGGAGGAUGUGAGGUGAUAAAGCGCCACAUGAGGAGGUGACAUGAGGGAGCAGGCACGUGACUAACGUGGCGUUAGGCUGCGAGUGACCCUCUGAGGAGGCGUCAGGAGGACGACCAUCCGCGCCGGGAAACCCGCGUCGGCUGCAGGCGACUGAACCCACAGCAAGUGAAUUGUGGUGCCACUCUGGAUGGCCCUGUCCCCCUGUGACUCCUCAGUGACCUUCACCCCCCUGUGUGGCCAGAGAGCUGUCCAGGUCAUCAGCCUCCUAAAAGCGGGGUGAUGGGUACAGCUGGUGCCGUCCUAAAAGACAUUUUGAGGUUUGACACUUUUCUUUUGUCUCCUCUACGUUUUUUCUCUUUUUGUGUGUGUUUAUAAUGCAUGUAUUGACCCGUGUAAGUACAUAUUUCUAUAUGCCCUGUCUCAAGGUUGACUUGAUUCUUUUCCUCUUUUUGCACAUUUUAGGGAUCCUUCCCCUCCCAUCCCAGGCCCUGUGGUCCUGGCCUGUACGUCCGUAUUGCGUCUCAGAUGCUCUGGGUUUUUAGCUACAACUCCUCUUCAGUUAAUUCUCACCCUUGCGUUUGCCCCUCCGUCCUGGUGUGCCGCACCUUCCAAAGUGACCGCUAGUUUAUCUGCGGGACCAUCGAGCCCAGAAGUGGGCAAGGGGAUCUCCCCUCAGGAGACUGGCUCUGUGGCUUGACAGUAAUAGCUCAGGCUUUGUCUGUUCCUCACCACCACCUUCAAGAGAAGGUACCAGUGCUGCCCAUUUUACAGACGGCAAAGUUGAGGCAUAAGGAAGUUAGUUAACACGCCUAAGGCUGGACUAGGUCUCACUGUCCUCCCUCAACUAUGGGGAACCAAGCCAGAGGACGGAGCUGCCAGAGCUUGGGAUCGUGCAAGGCCUCGGCACAGAGGAAGAAAUGAGAGGCGGCGUAUGGGCCCUGCGUAUAGGAUGUCGGAAGAGGAAGGCCCGAGCGUUUAGAAGCACCAGGCCCACGGGAGUCUUGGGGACUAGCAGCCUUGGGAAGGUUCUGGAAAGCAGCCUACAGCUCUGAAUAGCUCUUGGGAGCAUAAAACAGAGAGAGACAGAGCAUGAGCAGGGGAGGGGCAGAGAGAGGAGGAG